rnacentral:rRNA from 1 species
AAUAGAUACCCAGGUAGUCCACGCCGUAAACGGUGGGCACUAGGUGUGGGCGACAUUCCACGUCGUCCGUGCCGCAGCUAACGCAUUAAGUGCCCCGCCUGGGGAGUACGGCCGCAAGGCUAAAACUCAAAGGAAUUGACGGGGGCCCGCACAAGCGGCGGAGCAUGUGGCUUAAUUCGACGCAACGCGAAGAACCUUACCAAGGCUUGACAUACACCGGAAACGUCCAGAGAUGGGCGCCCCCUUGUGGUCGGUGUACAGGUGGUGCAUGGCUAUCGUCAGCUCGUGUCGUGAGAUGUUGGGUUAAGUCCCGCAACGAGCGCAACCCUUGUCCCGUGUUGCCAGCAGGCCCCUGUGGUGCUGGGGACUCACGGGAGACCGCCGGGGUCAACUCGGAGGAAGGUGGGGACGACGUCAAGUCAUCAUGCCCCUUAUGUCUUGGGCUGCACGCGUGCUACAAUGGCCGGUACAAUGAGCUGCGAUACCGCGAGGUGGAGCGAAUCUCAAAAAGCCGGUCUCAGUUCGGAUUGGGGU